rnacentral:tRNA from 1 species
CGCGGGAUGGAGAAGAGGUAACUCGUUAGGCUCAUAACCUAAAGAUCGCAGGUUCGAUUCCUGCUCCCGUAAC